rnacentral:rRNA from 1 species
GACGAACGCUGGCGGCGUGCUUAACACAUGCAAGUCGAACGGAAAGGCCUGCUUUCCCUUGUGGAUUGCGGGUACUCGAGUGGCGAACGGGUGAGUAACACGUGAGUGAUCUGCCCCCAACUUGGGUAUAAGCCUGGGAAACUGGGUCUAAUUCCCGAUAGGACUGCAGGGUGGUGCCUGUGGUGGAAAACGAUUUUCUAGUGGUUGGGGAUGAGCUCGCGGCCUAUCAGCUUGUUGGUGGGGUAAUGGCCUACCAAGGCGGCGACGGGUAGCCGGCCUGGGGGGGUGGGCGGGCGCAUUGGGACUGAGGGACGGCCCAGGCUACUACGGGAGGCAGCAGUGGGGAAUAUGGCACGAUGGGCGGAGGCCUGAUGCAGCGACGCCGCGUGGGGGAUGACGGCCUUCGGGUUGUAAACUCCUUGCGGCCGAGAGGAAGCCACCUGGUUGGAAGGGUGGUGACGGUAGUGGUAGAAGAAGCACCGGCUAACUACGUG